rnacentral:rRNA from 1 species
UACGUAGGGUGCAGGCGUUAAUCGGAAUUACUGGGCGUAAAGCGUGCGCAGGCGGUUUCUUAAGUCAGAUGUGAAAGCCCCGGGCUUAACCUGGGAACUGCGUUUGAAACUGGGAGACUUGAGUGUGGCAGAGGGGGGUGGAAUUCCACGUGUAGCAGUGAAAUGCGUAGAUAUGUGGAGGAACACCGAUGGCGAAGGCAGCCCCCUGGGUUAACACUGACGCUCAUGCACGAAAGCGUGGGGAGCAAACAGGAUUAGAUACCCUGGUAGUCCACGCCCUAAACUAUGUCAACUGGUUGUCGGGGGAUUAAUUCCCUUGGUAACGAAGCUAACGCGUGAAGUUGACCGCCUGGGGAGUACGGCCGCAAGGUUA